rnacentral:rRNA from 1 species
AUUGAACGCUGGCGGCAGGCUUAUCACAUGCAAGUCGAGCGGGGGAAGGUAGCUUGCUACCGGACCUAGCGGCGGACGGGUGAGUAAUGCUUAGGAAUCUGCCUAUUAGUGGGGGACAACAUCUCGAAAGGGAUGCUAAUACCGCAUACGUCCUACGGGAGAAAGCAGGGGAUCUUCGGACCUCGCGCUAAUAGAUGAGCCUAAGUCGGAUUAGCUAGUUGGUGGGGUAAAGGCCUACCAAGGCGACGAUCUGUAGCGGGUCUGAGAGGAUGAUCCGCCACACUGGGACUGAGACACGGCCCAGACUCCUACGGGAGGCAGCAGUGGGGAAUAUUGGACAAUGGGGGGAACCCUGUUCCAGCCAUGCCGCGUGUGUGAAGAAGGCCUUAUGGUUGUAAAGCACUUUAAGCGAGGAGGAGGCUACUUUAGUCAAUACCUAGAGAUAGUGGACGUUACUCGCAGAAUAAGCACCGGCUAACUCUGUGCCAGCCGCCGCCGUAA